CUCAUUUUUCUACUGCUCGUGGUAAGUGGCUUCGUGGUCUUUAUAGCUGUUACUCUUUUGUACUUUGUCUUUUUCUUUUAUUUUCUUUUGAGCGAUUGUGCGAACAUAGCAUAGCACGCACUAUGCCUUCUGUGUUGUAGCUGCCUGGCCAGGGCGACUGGCGGAUAAGGUCUUGUGCGUGGCCUCGAGGCUUAAAAGUAGCAGUGGGGCUUUGUGAAGGACAAAAUGGCGAUGGCGGGCCGUGUAGGUCCCCCUUCCUAUGAUGAGGACCUUUUCACAGACCUGUACUGAGCUCCGUGAGGAUAAAUAACUCUGAGGAGAUGGGCCCUGCAAGCCUCUUGCUUAGCCGUCUGUUCAGAAAAUAGCGUUUUCGAAAUGCCCUGAGUUGACCUAAUGUCUUAUUGGGCUCCUGUCUGCAGGAUUUACGCGCACGUUGGAACCGAAGAGAGCUCUGUUGUUGCAGUAAGUUCUUACGGCCAUUUCUUAAUCUCUGCUCUUUCGUUGAGUGUGUGGAAGUUGCUACGGGGAUGAUUUUACGAACUGAACUCUCUCUUUCUGAUGGAUUAGUGGAGAAAACAGAAAAUUCUGAGUAGCACUGUACUGUACGCAACAAAUGUCAGGGCCCUAUUGAUUUGUCUGAGGUGUUAGUGAAGGGUGUUAUUUUUUCAGAUGUUCAGCCCACAAGAGCUUACUGGUGAAGGAAUGGGACAAGACCCAUCUUUAUGCAAAGCCAGCGUUACAGUAAUGUUCCAGCAUCUCAUAAUCUAUCCUGGGGAAUUCAGCUGCCUCCCAGGGUGAAUACAGGUAAUUAUCCAAAUUGGUGUAUGUCAUCUUUGUAAAUGUUCAAGAAAACAAGUGGCCGGCGGAACAAUGUUUUUUGGCGCCUUCCAUCUUGUUCCUCUUGAAAUGAUUUUCUGGGGAGGGAGAUCGCAACCCGGUACUACAGUUCUUGUAAGGGUGUGCUGUUACCCUCAUCCAUAUAUCGAUCACGUUACUGUCAGAUGAUUUGAAUUGAUAAGCUGAUGUUCUGUGAGGUACAAAAGUUAAUAGCAUGUUAGAGUUCUGAUGGCAGUUGUUGUUUAUGAAUAAGCUUCAUUCCAUCCUAAUACCUUAAAAUAACUAAUUUGCUUUCCUUUCCAGGUAUUCCUGAUGACAGUCUGCCUCUAUCUUACAGUAAGUUGUUUUUCGAAUUCUAUGGGCCUAUUAUCUAAUAGAUAACUUAGCCAUUUUGAUAUUUGUUACCAAAGCCUGCUUAACCCAUAAAGUUUUCUGGUUCCUCUUGUUCUCUGUAGUGAUGUUUCUAGAUAGAUGCCCACUGAUAUAUGCCCCUUUUUUCUCAGAUAGAUGCCCACUGAUCUGCCCAGGGUCAGACGAAUGCUUGUCAGUUGUAGCUUUCCAGGAUUCUGCUCCAAUGAGGAGGAAACAUCCUGCCUUACCCCUGUUUUAGCCUGGGAACCAGUAAUUGUGAACUCACCAGGGUUAACAUGAAGAGGGCAUGAGAGCUUAUUCCAUAAGGAAUUGUCUGAGACAUUUGGUUACCUUUUCUUAGUUUGUCCAUUAGCAACCGUAACUAAAAUAGUUUUGGCUGUUUGGGAUAAUUAGCUAAUUGAAUGAUUUUUUGAUUCAGGAGCAGCUUGUUGCUAUAUACCAUUGAAAAGCCUUCAGAGCUGAGAGGUUAGUUGAUAUUUUUUGUUCCUUACAGCUUAUGCCACCAAGUAGGCAGUUUCUAUGAUGAAUCAAACUAGCUCACUAUGACCGACAGUGAAAAUACAUGAACACCUGAGAAACUGGAGAACGCAGGGAGUGGGGGGUAACCAUGUCUGAGGAAUCUUUCACCCACAGCUUUGUUUUUCUCUAGGUACUACUAACCAAUAACCUGCUUGGCUCAAAGGUGAGUAAUUUCACGGUAUUCAAUGCACUCAGUAUAUAGGGUAGGAAAAAGUGCCUUUUUAGGCCUGUGUUUGUGAUGACUUACAUGGAAUCUCGUUCGGCUGAUGACUUGCUGUUGAGACUCUGAAAUCUGAUUUUCUGAGAAUGAUGGGUGGGAACAACAUAAUGCGGGAUAUGAGAAGCACUACUGACUUGGUCUUCCUCCUUUCAGGGCCAGCACCUUCUCUCUAAAGCCCAAGAGGAGUUUGAGGAAAACUAGGUGUCUGUGUUCACUCCAGGCUGAAGUUACAGGUGAGUAAACCUAAAUGUAAGGUGGACUAUGCUAAAAAUUCCCAAUGAAGAAACUUUCACAUGUCUUACUCUCUGUCCUAGUCCCAGAGCCUGUAAAGGUGAACCCACUGGGACUGGCUGGGGGAGAAGAGGAAGAUUUGUUCCAGAAGGAACUGUCUGAGGGAUGAUAAAGAUUUCUAUACAGAGAAAGGGAGUAAUCAUCACUUGUUGAAAACAUUGGUUUUAUUUUUUCCAGGUCUGAGCAAAUAAGGUGUAUAAAAAAUGGAAUCUGUCUUGGAGGACAUCAGAAGGUGAAUUUUCCAAGUUCUUGGACAACCUAGCUGUUGAAAAGCUUUCUGGGUUUGGGGGGUAUUUCAGAUGUACCUUAAAGUGUUAGCAGACACAGAUUAAGACACUGGGAGCCAAUGAAACAGCAGUUGAGGGUUUGCUGUGUAUCACAUUUCUGUAUUUUAUCACCCCCUUCCUGCAACAUUAUUUAUCUGGAAUCUACCUGCCCUUUUGUUUUUUAGAUACAAGGGCUUGGUUUUGUUACCCAGGCUGGUUUCAAGGCCAUAGCUUUAAGAGAUCCUCUCACCACAGAUUUCCAAAGUGCUGGGAUUGCAGGUGUGAUUCAUGGCACCCAGACUUUGCUGCCUUUCUUACAUGAUCCAGGCCCAGAACCCAAACUCAGGCACUGUAUAGAUGACCACUUUCGUAAACUACUGACCUAGCUUGUUGCCAAUUGUUGAUUGAACUUCCCAUAACUCCACUUCGUGUCUGUUCCUCUGUAUACAGCCACCUUCUGUUCCCGUCAUGAGCCUUUAGGUCUCCAUUUGCAUAUUGCAAAUACUAUGUUCCAUGUAGGUAGCUCAUUCAGGGCCUUGCUCUUCACUUCAAAAAAGGUUCCCUUGAGGACUGGCUGUCAAUUUGUGUUGCUGUGUUGGUUGUUGAUGAAAAUAAUAAAAUGAUUGAUUACAUAGUCCUGUUUACUUUUUUUGUGUGUAUGUGUCUCUUAGCAUCAGUGUGUAAAUUUCCAUGGGAAACUGGCUUUCCUCUCAUGCUCCCUGAAGUACCUGGAACUUGAAGGGACAUC
rnacentral:lncRNA from 1 species